AGCGGGGUGGGGUAGCCAGGAUAUCCCGUCGGGCUCAUAACCCGGAGAUCGAUGGUUCAAACGGCUCCGAGGACGCGCCUCGGUCCCUGAGAUUCCAUCCCCCGCUA
rnacentral:tRNA from 1 species